AGAGUUUGAUCCUGGCUCAGGAUGAACGCUGGCGGCGUGCUUAACACAUGCAAGUCGAACGGGAAUGCCGCGCUGAUGCGAUUUCGGUCAAAUCAUGUGGCAUUCGAGUGGCGGACGGGUGAGUAACGCGUGGGUAACCUGCCUUACACAGGGGGAUAACACCUGGAAACAGGUGCUAAUACCGCAUAAGCGCACAGGGCCGCAUGGCCCGGUGUGAAAAACUCCGGUGGUGUAAGAUGGACCCGCGUCUGAUUAGCUUGUUGGCGGGGUAGGGGCCCACCAAGGCGACGAUCAGUAGCCGGCCUGAGAGGGUGGACGGCCACAUUGGGACUGAGACACGGCCCAAACUCCUACGGGAGGCAGCAGUGGGGGAUAUUGGACAAUGGGGGAAACCCUGAUCCAGCGACGCCGCGUGAGUGAAGAAGUAUUUCGGUAUGUAAAGCUCUGUCAGCAGGGAAGAAAGAAAUGACGGUACCUGACCAAGAAGCCCCGGCUAACUACGUGCCAGCAGCCGCGGUAAUACGUAGGGGGCAAGCGUUAUCCGGAAUUACUGGGUGUAAAGGGAGCGUAGACGGUGAUGCAAGUCUGGAGUGAAAGGCGGGGGCCCAACCCCCGGACUGCUCUGGAAACUGUGUAACUUGAGUGCAGGAGAGGUAAGCGGAAUUCCUAGUGUAGCGGUGAAAUGCGUAGAUAUUAGGAGGAACACCAGUGGCGAAGGCGGCUUACUGGACUGUAACUGACGUUGAGGCUCGAAAGCGUGGGGAGCAAACAGGAUUAGAUACCCUGGUAGUCCACGCCGUAAACGAUGAUUA
rnacentral:rRNA from 1 species